CUAGGACAAUAGGACUUGAACCUAUACCAAAGAACUCAAAAUCCUUUGUGCUCCCAUUACACCACAUCCUA
ensembl:Mt_tRNA